ACCGUCAGUUGCCAUCAUUCAGUUGGGCACUCUGGUGGAACCGCCGGUGACAAGCCGGAGGAAGGCGGGGAUGACGUCAAGUCCUCAUGGCCCUUAUGGGUUGGGCUACACACGUGCUACAAUGGCGGUGACAGUGGGAAGCGAAGUCGCGAGAUGGAGCCAAUCCCCAAAAGCCGUCUCAGUUCGGAUCGUACUCUGCAACUCGAGUGCGUGAAGUUGGAAUCGCUAGUAAUCGCGGAUCAGCACGCCG
rnacentral:rRNA from 1 species